AACGAACGCUGGCGGCAUGCCUAACACAUGCAAGUCGAACGAGACCUUCGGGCCUAGUGGCGCACGGGUGCGUAACGCGUGGGAACCUGCCCUUAGGUUCGGAAUAACUCCCCGAAAGGGGUGCUAAUACCGGAUAAUGUCUUCCGACCAAAGAUUUAUCGCCUUUGGAUGGGCCCGCGUUGGAUUAGCUGGUUGGUAGGGUAAAAGCCUACCAAGGCGACGAUCCAUAGCUGGUCUGAGAGGAUGAUCAGCAACACUGGGGCUGAGACACGGCCCAGACUCCUACGGGAGGCAGCAGUGGGGAAUAUUGGACAAUGGGCGAAAGCCUGAUCCAGCAAUGCCGCGUGAGUGAUGAAGGCCUUAGGGUUGUAAAGCUCUUUUACCCGGGAUGAUAAUGACAGUACCGGGAGAAUAAGCUCCGGCUAACUCCGUG
rnacentral:rRNA from 1 species